AACUCUCAACCUCCAACUUUCUUAAUAGUAGUUGGCGGCUUGGACUUGAGCGCUGCUGGUCAUCGGCUCGCUCGAAAUUCAUUAGCAGACCCUUUUCGUAAUCGGUUCCACUCGACGUGAUAAGUAUUUCGUCGAGGACAGUCCUUAACUGGGCUGGCCGGGAUAAGGAAGGUAUAGUUGUCAGCUUCUAAUUCGUCGUCUAGCUCUCGAGCGAAACACACUUUUAUG
rnacentral:misc_RNA from 1 species